rfam:Danaus plexippus plexippus isolate F-2 unplaced genomic scaffold DPSCF300057, whole genome shotgun sequence.
GCUGGCUUUUAUCGAAGCUCUCAUAUUUUUCCUAUAAAUAUGGAAGUCAAACAAAGCCUAUAGUGAAGAUCUCUAUCGGUCGCGGUCUAGGUAAAUCAUACCUCUAACGUAUCACCAAGGAGGUCAACAGUU